ACAAUAAACAGGUUGCAAACUGUCGUGU
rnacentral:sRNA from 1 species